UACGUAGGUGGCAAGCGUUGUCCGGAUUUACUGGGCGUAAAGCGAGCGCAGGCGGACUGUUAAGUAGGAAGUGAAAGGUCGGAGCUCAACUCCAACAUUGCUUUCUAUACUGGCAGUCUUGAGUCACGGAGGGGAAAGCGGAACGACACGUGUAGCGGUGAAAUGCGUUGAUAUGUGUCGGAACACCAAUGGCGAAGGCAGCUUUCUGGACGAUGACUGACGCUCAGGCACGAAAGCGUGGGGAGCAAACAGG
rnacentral:rRNA from 1 species